UUCCGGUUGAUCCUGCCGGAGGCUACUGCUAUCGGGGUCCGACUAAGCCAUGCGAGUUGAGAGGGGUAAGCCCUCGGCAUAUUGCUCAGUAACACGCGGAUAACCUGCCCUUGGGUUUGGGAUAACCCCGGGAAACUGGGACUAAUACCGGAUAGAUCAAAGAAACUGGAAUGUUCUCUGAUCGAAAGCUCCGGCGCCCAAGGAUGGGUCUGCGGCCUAUCAGGUAGUAGUGGGUGUAACGUACCUACUAGCCUACGACGGGUAAGGGUUGUGAGAGCAAGAGCCCUGAGAUGGAUUCUGAGACAUGAAUCCAGGCCCUACGGGGUGCAGCAGGCGCGAAAACUUUACACUGCGGGAAACCGCGAUAAGGGGACCCCGAGUGCCAGCACCUAGUGCUGGCUGUCCAGCUGUUCAAAUAACAGUUGUUAGCAAGGGCCGGGCAAGACCGGUGCCAGCCGCCGCGGUAACACCGGCGGCCCGAGUGGUAGUCGUUAUUAUUGGGUUUAAAGGGUCCGUAGCCGGCCUAUUAAGUCUCUUGGGAAAUCUGGCGACUCAAUCGUCAGGCGUUCAAGAGAUACUGGUAGGCUUGGGACCGGGAGAGGUGGGAGGUACUCCAGGGGUAGGGGUGAAAUCUCGUAAUCCUUGGGGGACCACCGAUGGCGAAGGCAUCCCACCAGAACGGGUCCGACGGUGAGGGACGAAAGCUGGGGGCACGAACCGGAUUAGAUACCCGGGUAGUCCCAGCCGUAAACGAUGCUCGCUAGGUGUCAGGUGCGGUGCGACCGCAUCUGGUGCCGCAGUGAAAACUUGAAGCGAGUCACCUGGGAAGUACGGUCGCAAGGCUGAAACUUAAAGGAAUUGGCGGGGGAGCACUACAACGGGUGGAGCCUGCGGUUCAAUUGGAUUCAACGCCGGG
rnacentral:rRNA from 1 species